UCGGGAAUUUUGGGCAAUGGAGGGAACUCUGACCCAGCCAUGCCGCGUGCAGGAUGAAGGCGUUAUGCGUUGUAAACUGCUUUUAUAUAGGAAGAAAUAGUCCUUGCGAGGAAAGUUGACGGUACUAUAUGAAUAAGCACCGGCUAACUCCGUGCCAGCAGCCGCGGUAAUACGGAGGGUGCAAGCGUUGUCCGGAUUUAUUGGGUUUAAAGGGUGCGUAGGCGGUUUAUUAAGUCAGUGGUGAAAGACGGUCGCUCAACGAUUGCAGUGCCAUUGAUACUGGUAGACUUGAGUAUGAUUGAGGUAGCUGGAAUGGAUAGUGUAGCGGUGAAAUGCAUAGAUAUUAUCCAGAACACCAAUUGCGUAGGCAAGUUACUAAGUCAUAACUGACGCUGAGGCACGAAAGUGUGGGUAUCAAACAGGAUUAGAUACCCUCGUAGUCCCUGAGCGGGCUGGCAAGGCGCAU
rnacentral:rRNA from 1 species